rnacentral:rRNA from 1 species
GAUGAACGCUGGCGGCGUGCCUAAUACAUGCAAGUCGAGCGAACAGACGAGGAGCUUGCUCCUUUGACGUUAGCGGCGGACGGGUGAGUAACACGUGGAUAACCUACCUAUAAGACUGGGAUAACUUCGGGAAACCGGAGCUAAUACCGGAUAACAUGUUGAACCGCAUGGUUCAACAGUGAAAGACGGUCUUGCUGUAACUUAUAGAUGGAUCCGCGCCGCAUUAGCUAGUUGGUAAGGUAACGGCUUACCAAGGCAACGAUGCGUAGCCGACCUGAGAGGGUGAUCGGCCACACUGGAACUGAGACACGGUCCAGACUCCUACGGGAGGCAGCAGUAGGGAAUCUUCCGCAAUGGGCGAAAGCCUGACGGAGCAACGCCGCGUGAGUGAAGAAGGUCUUCGGAUCGUAAAACUCUGUUAUUAGGGAAGAACAAAUGUGUAAGUAACUAUGCACGUCUUGACGGUACCUAAUCAGAAAGCCACGGCUAACUGCGUGCCAGCAGCCGCGGUAAUACGUAGGUGGCAAGCGUUAUCCGGAAUUAUUGGGCGUAAAGCGCGCGUAGGCGGUUUUUUAAGUCUGAUGUGAAAGCCCACGGCUCAACCGUGGAGGGUCAUUGGAAACUGGAAAACUUGAGUGCAGAAGAGGAAAGUGGAAUUCCAUGUGUAGCGGUGAAAUGCGCAGAGAUAUGGAGGAACACCAGUGGCGAAGGCGACUUUCUGGUCUGUAACUGACGCUGAUGUGCGAAAGCGUGGGGAUCAAACAGGAUUAGAUACCCUGGUAGUCCACGCCGUAAACGAUGAGUGCUAAGUGUUAGGGGGUUUCCGCCCCUUAGUGCUGCAGCUAACGCAUUAAGCACUCCGCCUGGGGAGUACGACCGCAAGGUUGAAACUCAAAGGAAUUGACGGGGACCCGCACAAGCGGUGGAGCAUGUGGUUUAAUUCGAAGCGACGCGAAGAACCUUACCAAAUCUUGACAUCCUCUGACCCCUCUAGAGAUAGAGUUUUCCCCUUCGGGGGACAGAGUGACAGGUGGUGCAUGGUUGUCGUCAGCUCGUGUCGUGAGAUGUUGGGUUAAGUCCCGCAACGAGCGCAACCCUUAAGCUUAGUUGCCAUCAUUAAGUUGGGCACUCUAAGUUGACUGCCGGUGACAAACCGGAGGAAGGUGGGGAUGACGUCAAAUCAUCAUGCCCCUUAUGAUUUGGGCUACACACGUGCUACAAUGGACAAUACAAAGGGUAGCGAAACCGCGAGGUCAAGCAAAUCCCAUAAAGUUGUUCUCAGUUCGGAUUGUAGUCUGCAACUCGACUACAUGAAGCUGGAAUCGCUAGUAAUCGUGGAUCAGCAUGCUACGGUGAAUACGUUCCCGGGUCU